rnacentral:rRNA from 1 species
UACGUAGGUGGCAAGCGUUGUCCGGAUUUACUGGGCGUAAAGGGCGCGUAGGUGGUUAUUUAAGUGGGAUGUGAAAUCCCUGAGCUUAACUUGGGUGCUGCAUUCCAAACUGGAUAUCUAGAGUGCAGGAGAGGAAAGUGGAAUUCCUAGUGUAGCGGUGAAAUGCGUAGAGAUUAGGAAGAACCCCAGUGGCGAAGGCGACUUUCUGGACUGUAACUGACACUGAGGCUCGAAAGCGUGGGGAGCAAACAGG